rnacentral:rRNA from 1 species
UACGUAGGGGGCAAGCGUUGUCCGGAUUUAUUGGGCGUAAAGGGCGCGUAGGCGGUCAGCACAAGUCAGUUGUGAAAUCUCCGAGCUUAACUCGGAAAGGUCAACUGAUACUGUGCGACUAGAGUGCAGAAGGGGCAACUGGAAUUCUUGGUGUAGCGGUGAAAUGCGUAGAUAUCAAGAGGAACACCUGCGGCGAAGGCGGGUUGCUGGGCUGACACUGACGCUGAAGCGCGAAAGCCAGGGGAGCGAACGGG